AUACGUAGGUGGCAAGCGUUGUCCGGAAUUAUUGGGCGUAAAGCGCGCGCAGGCGGUUCUUUAAGUCUGAUGUGAAACCUUGGGGCUUAACCUCAAGCGGUCAUUGGAAACUGGGGGACUUGAGUCAAGAAGAGGAGAGUGGAAUUCCACGUGUAGCGGUGAAAUGCGUAGAGAUGUGGAGGAACACCAGUGGCGAAGGCGGCUCUCCGGUCUUGUACUGACGCUGAGGCGCGAAAGCGUGGGGAGCAAACAGGAUUAGAUACCCUGGUAGUCCACGCCGUAAACGAUGAGUGCUAGGUGUUGGGGGGUAAGCCCCUCAGUGCUGAAGUAAACACAUUAAGCACUCCGCCUGGGGAGUACGACCGCAAGGUUGAA
rnacentral:rRNA from 1 species